AUCUUUUUAGUUUAUAAAAAUAUCAUAUUUUCAUUAUGAAGUUAAAUUAAAUAUUUUUAAGAUU
rnacentral:tRNA from 1 species